rnacentral:rRNA from 1 species
CCUACGGGGCGCAGCAGUGGGGAAUAUUGGACAAUGGGCGAAAGCCUGAUCCAGCCAUGCCGCGUGUGUGAAGAAGGCCUUCGGGUUGUAAAGCACUUUCAGUGGGGAAGAAAGCCUUGGGGCUAAUACCCUCGAGGAAGGACAUCACCCACAGAAGAAGCACCGGCUAACUCCGUGCCAGCAGCCGCGGUAAUACGGAGGGUGCGAGCGUUAAUCGGAAUUACUGGGCGUAAAGCACGCGUAGGCGGUCUGAUAAGCCGGUUGUGAAAGCCCCGGGCUCAACCUGGGAACGGCAUCCGGAACUGUCAGGCUAGAGUGCAGGAGAGGAAGGUAGAAUUCCCGGUGUAGCGGUGAAAUGCGUAGAGAUCGGGAGGAAUACCAGUGGCGAAGGCGGCCUUCUGGACUGACACUGACGCUGAGGUGCGAAAGCGUGGGUAGCAAACAGGAUUAGAUACCCUUGUAGUC